GUGGAUUGGUGUGUGGUUCUCCUACUGGGGUACCGCCAACCCGUCCGAGUGCCUCACUCCGGAUGACACCACCGACCCGUUCUCCACCAC
rnacentral:ribozyme from 1 species